rnacentral:rRNA from 1 species
CCAACCUUCCCAAUAACUCAGGGAUAGCCUUUCGAAAGAAAGAUUAAUACCUGAUAGUACUUUUUCAAGGCAUCUUGAGAAAGUUAAAGAUUUAUUGGUUAUGGAUGGGGAUGCGUUCCAUUAGAUAGUUGGUGAGGUAACGGCUCACCAAGUCUUCGAUGGAUAGGGGUUCUGAGAGGAAGGUCCCCCACAUUGGUACUGAGACACGGACCAAACUCCUACGGGAGGCAGCAGUGAGGAAUAUUGGUCAAUGGGCGAGAGCCUGAACCAGCCAAGUAGCGUGAAGGAUAGAAGGUCCUAUGGAUUGUAAACUUCUUUUAUAGUAGAAUAAAGUGAUCCACGUGUGGAUUUUUGUAUGUAUACUAUGAAUAAGGAUCGGCUAACUCCGUGCCAGCAGCCGC